rnacentral:lncRNA from 1 species
GGCGGGUACUUGUAUAUCCCAACAAUAAAAAGACACUAUAAGUACUGAUCUGAAAGUAUAUAUAACUAAUAUAGUACCAUGCUGUUGAUUAAAAAUAACAUCACUCCAGACCCUUUUGUUUUCCACAUAAUUAAUAUUGCCAAUAAUUAAGAAGUUCCGGGUCGAAUCGAUACCAAUAAUAUAUUCACCUGUUAACUAUUACAUUAUCUGUACGUUCCGCAUCUGACAAGAGUACCACGAAACGCUGUAUUUAAGAUUUUGCUAUAUACACGGGUCGUAAUCACAGGGUUGAAACUACUUAAUUCAAUCAUUGUCACAUUGUUCCCGAUUGUAGUACUUUAAUCAGUAUGACUUUCUAAGAUGACAAUACGAAUAAUAAAAA